rnacentral:lncRNA from 1 species
GCGAGAGGCGCUCCUGUAGAUCCACUUCAGUGGGCUGAACAAGAGGCAACAACCACUCAUCUCUCUGGUUCCAGUCCAGUAUUGUGCCUCCUUGGUCACUUUCUCUGGAUCUUCCUUCUGGCCAAGAAGACUUACUCAUGCCUACUUCCUGUUGCAUCUCAGUUGUUCAUCUGCACAUAUAGUAUUUAUCACACUGCCACGGUAUUAUUUACUUGCUUAUCUUCCUAACCCC